rnacentral:rRNA from 1 species
CGAACGGUAACAGGAAACAGCUUGCUGUUUCGCUGACGAGUGACGGACGGGUGAGUAAUGUCUGGGAAACUGCCUGAUGGAGGGGGAUAACUACUGGAAACGGUAGCUAAUACCGCAUAACGUCGCAAGACCAAAGAGGGGGACCUUCGGGCCUCUUGCCAUCGGAUGUGCCCAGAUGGGAUUAGCUUGUUGGUGGGGUAACGGCUCACCAAGGCGACGAUCCCUAGCUGGUCCGAGAGGAUGACCAGCCACACUGGAACUGAGACACGGUCCAGACUCCUACGGGAGGCAGCAGUGGGGAAUAUUGCACAAUGGGCGCAAGCCUGAUGCAGCCAUGCCGCGUGUAUGAAGAAGGCCUUCGGGUUGUAAAGUACUUUCAGCGGGGAGGAAGGGAGUAAAGUUAAUACCUUUGCUCAUUGACGUUACCCGCAGAAGAAGCACCGGCUAACUCCGUGCCAGCAGCCGCGGUAAUACGGAGGGUGCAAGCGUUAACCGGAAUUACUGGGCGUAAAGCGCACGCAGGCGGUUUGUUAAGUCAGAUGUGAAAUCCCCGGGCUCAACCUGGGAACUGCAUCUGAUACUGGCAAGCUUGAGUCUCGUAGAGGGGGGUAGAAUUCCAGGUGUAGCGGUGAAAUGCGUAGAGAUCUGGAGGAAUACCGGUGGCGAAGGCGGCCCCCUGGACGAAGACUGACGCUCAGGUGCGAAAGCGUGGGGAGCAAACAGG